GCGGGGCCGUCGCUGGGUCUCUGGGGAGGGAGAGGUGGGCUCGGGACGACACACUCAUGUCGGGAGAUGUCCAGCCACAUGCGUGUUAAGGUGAAGGGGCAGGCAAAAAAGAAGAAGGAUUCUUAAAAGUCUCACCAUCCCCCAAAAGAAAUCCCUGGGACCCUGGGGAGAUGGGCCCAGAGAGGCUGCCUGGCCUCCUGCCAGCUGCCCCAGCCAGGGCUCCCCUGGCACAGGGAGAGCUGUGCCUCUGUCCUCCCCAGCCUGGAGCCCCAGGGGCCAGUGACAGGUGGGGCCUGGCCUGGCACUCCACGGGCUGAAGCUGGCAGUGGGCCUGGCUGGGUCCGGAGCAAACUAGAAUAUCCCAGCCGCCCUCCCCUGAGCUGCCACCUAAAACACACCGAGGGCCAAGACCAACUGCAAGGGGCCUCCUGGGAGGCCAGGGCCGGAGUUCAAUCCCGGACGGGGAACCAAAGCACCCCUUUAAGCAGCUUGUCCAGACCACAGAGCAGGGGUCACAGGUUCGAUCCCUGGUCCGGGAAGAUCCCACAUGCCGCGGAGCAGCUAAGCCCGUGCGUCACAACUACUGAGCCUGCGCUCUAGAGCCCACAAGCCACAACUACUGAACUGGCGCGCCUGGAGCCCGUGCUCUGCACCAAGAGAAGCCACCGCAAUGAGAAGCCGGCGCACCGCAACAAAGAGUAGCGCCGCAACUAGAGAAAGCCUGCGCGCAGCAACGAAGACCCAACGCAGCCAAAAAUAAAUAGAUUAAAUAAAUUAAAAAAAGGAAAAAACCCAGGCUUUACAUCAGAC